AUUGAACGCUGGCGGCAUGCCUUACACAUGCAAGUCGAACGGCAGCACGGGAGCAAUCCUGGUGGCGAGUGGCGAACGGGUGAGUAAUAUAUCGGAACGUGCCCAGUCGUGGGGAUAACGUAGCGAAAGCUACGCUAAUACCGCAUACGAUCUAUGGAUGAAAGCGGGGGAUCGCAAGACCUCGCGCGAUUGGAGCGGCCGAUAUCAGAUUAGGUAGUUGGUGAGGUAAAGGCUCACCAAGCCGACGAUCUGUAGCUGGUCUGAGAGGACGACCAGCCACACUGGGACUGAGACACGGCCCAGACUCCUACGGGAGGCAGCAGUGGGGGAAUUUUUGGACAAUGGGCGAAAGCCCUAA
rnacentral:rRNA from 1 species